rnacentral:rRNA from 1 species
UACGGAGGGUGCAAGCGUUAUCCGGAUUCACUGGGUUUAAAGGGUGCGUAGGCGGGUAGGUAAGUCAGUGGUGAAAUCUUCGAGCUUAACUCGGAAACUGCCUUUGAUACUAUCUAUCUUGAAUAUUGCGGAGGUAAGCGGAAUAUGUCAUGUAGCGGUGAAAUGCGUAGAGAUGGGGGAGAACACUCGUGGCGAAGGCGGCCAGCUAGACCAGUUCUGACACUGAGGCGCGACAGCGUGGGGAGCAAACAGG